UGCACAAAAUGCAUUAUAUAUGGGAAUAUGCUAUUCAGAAAUGAUCAAUCAAGAGAAACCAGAAUAGUCAGAUUUGCCUCUCUGGUUUCAGCAGAGGUCUUCUCCUAACUGGUUCAGUAAAAUUUUGUUUCUAAUUAUCUAGAAACAUAAUGGCGACCAAGGUUUCCACAAGACACUCAAAGCGCUGUGCUUGAAUUAUGGUGCAUAUGCUUCCAGAGUGUUCGCACGCAUAGAUUUUAAUGAAGAACUUGCCAGGCCCAUCUAUGACAAAAUUGAGCAGAAUUUUGAAAGCAUGUUCAGGACUCGGAAGCGGACCAGAGGCAAUCUGUGGUAUGAGUUGGAUGCGUUUAAACAGAAGAUGCAGGAGAAAAUUCGUGAGAUUGCAAAAAGCAAAAAAAUGGCUGUUGACAAUGGCAAGAUUAAAGCUUUCAUCCAUGAGACAAACAUCAUCUGGGCCAAAGUGGAAGUGGAGAUUCUCCGGAGAAAGCUGCUCAUCUACCACUGCCUUCCAGCUUCCAUCCAAAAUGAGCUGAAGCCCUAUUAC